GGAAUAUUCCGCAAUGGGCGAAAGCCUGACGGAGCAACGCCGCGUGAGUGAAGAAGGUCUUCGGAUCGUAAAGCUCUGUCAACAGGGACGAAACAAGACGGUACCUGAGAAGGAAGCCACGGCAAACUACGUGCCAGCAGCCGCGGUAAUACGUAGGUGGCAAGCGUUGUCCGGAAUAACUGGGCGUAAAGCGCAUGUAGACGGCAUGAUAAGCCAAAUGUGAAAUGUAGGGGCUCAACCCCUACACUGCGAUUGGAACUGUCAAGCUUGAGUGCAGGAGAGGCAAAUGGAAUUCCCAGUGUAGCAGUGAAAUGCGUAGAGAUUGGGAGGAACACCAGUGGCGAAGGCGAUUUGCUGGACUGCAACUGACGUUGAGAUGCGAAAGCCAGGGGAGCAAAC
rnacentral:rRNA from 1 species